rnacentral:tRNA from 1 species
GAGGAUAUAGCUCAAGUGGUAGAGUGCAUGCUUAGCAUGCACAAGGUCCUGGGUUCAAUUCCCAGUACCUCCU